rnacentral:misc_RNA from 1 species
CGGCGUACUGCCCUCAAUAUCUUAUUGUUGUUGUUUUGUUGGUUUCUCUCUCCGUGGGUGCAUCUUGGUCACAGAUCGUUGUGAGAGUGCGUCCGAGUGCCCGUGUAAUCUUCGCGAGCGCACGUAAGUUGGCUCUCUCUCACCCUCCUUUUUUUUUCGACUGGUGCUCAUUGCUGUUCUCUGUACGUCGCAUACAGCACAGAACACGCUGUGCGGAGGUGGUACAAGGUAGUGAGAACAAGCGCGCAUCCACGUGCGUGUUCGUGUGUGCGAAGGUGGCGCGUUUGCUCACCAUCGACACCGAAGCGGAGGACGCCAUCUGCGAAUGAGAGAAAGGGAGAAGGGCAGAUAAGGUUGAACAUAAACAGAUAGACAUACACUUUUUUGUUUCAAAAGAAGCCCUCGCUGCUCUGUGGUAGCGGAGGAGGCGAGCCACGUUGCUCCAAACGCGCACGGACACACGCUUCGGGAGAUAUUUCCACAGACAACACACCGACCAAAGAAGCAAGAAGGGUACGACGCGGCAUACGCUUGUGCGUACGUGGCUGGCACAGCGAUCUGCACAGCCUCGCCUCCCAUCGGCGUUCUCUUUUCUUGCUGUUUUUUCUUCUCUUGUUUUCAUUCGUCACGUGCCCGUCUUCUUUUCAUUUUUUUUCCUGUGUGUGUGUGUGUGUGUGUGCGUGUGUGUGUGUGUCUUUAUUAUCCGUUGCUGUUACCACAAACUGAAGCACGAAGAAGCACUUGUGCGCCGGCGCGCUCAUUGUUCUACUGUUGUUUAUCUUCCUACCUCUGACGCUACCCCUCACUCCCGCCUCUCGCCUGCGUGCCUACGAUCCUCUGGCGCGUCUACGCCUAACGCGCUGCUUGGGUGCUAACCCUGUCACACUUGAGGCGUCGGUCUCUCAGUCGCCUCUCGCUGCCGUUUGUUGUUGUGACCGUCGAAAAAGAGUGGGUUUGUCGGCUAGCGUUUGUUACUGGAACUCUCCAUUUGUGCAUGCACGUCGGACAUACACGCCAGACUUGCAGAAUUGUUGUGGGUGGGGCACUGUCGGUGUGAGAAAAGAAGUGUGUCUUUCGCGGUAUCGACCUCGUCCGUGUGUGACACAGAUUCGGAACAGUGCGUUGAAUAGAAGUGCCGUCAGGAGCUCAUCGAGGGAGCUCUCGCCGUUGUCAGACUUCGUCGUACUGCGCGCACACGAAACCCGCCAAGCGUGGAACACGAGUGGAAACGCUGGGGCAAGCCGACUCACACUACCGCAGCUGCCUCCCCUCUCCCUUCUUCUCGGGUCCUGGUGUUUUUUGCUGGGCGUCGUCUUCUCCCUCUGUCCCCUCCUCUCCUCCACUCAUUGUACAGCGGCUUCUCCUGCUCUUCUUUUUUUCGCGUCCAAGGGCUGCCCAUCAAGGUCUUCUCGUACCGUCUCGCCACACCGCAGCGCCUCCUCGCUCCCAGCUCGUCAGGAGGAGCCGGAAAGAGAAUUCAUCUUACUCUUUUCCCUCGUCUUUUUGUGUGCGCUACUUUUCUUUUGCGGCGCUGGUGACUGUGCCCGUGUGCGUGUGUGUGUGUGUGUGCGUGUGUGUGCUUGAUUGCUGGGCGGGAACAUAACCUGUUCAUUUGAGCUCACCGCGCACACCCACACCAACACUCGCCCACCGGCUCAGCACCAGCACCCGCACACGCGCUCUCUGUCCAUCAUAGCCUGCACACAAACGCCGUGUGGCGUCCCUGGUUGCUCGACGAACGUCGCAAGUGUACCUAAGUGAAUCCAGACGCACAGACAGAAGAAGACGGACGCUGCCUUUUCCGUUUCGGACUCUCCCCUACUUCGGCGACUAAAGCGUUCUCGUGAGCCCUCCUUCGUUGUCUCUCUGUACUCCGCUUGUUUUCUUUUUUUUUUUUCGAUUCCUCGGCUCUCUCUCUCCCCUCCCCAUUACAACCUCACUCAUAACCACCACGACCACCAUAACGACCGCGGCCAUUUCGCUUUGAAUCCGCUUCUCCUCCCGUUUCGUCUCUUUUUCGUCGUUGUUGUCACUCGCUCGACUCUCGCCCGCCCUGCACGCCAUUCGCUGUUUCGCUCUCCGUUUUUUUGUGGUUUGCUUGUUUGUGUGGUGCUUGCCCUUUGCCUUCUCUGCUGUGAGGGUGGCAGGAUGAGCCUCAACCCCAACGCUCCAUCGUUUGACCCGACGGCGAAGCCGUUCAUUCCGUCCUUUCUGUGCAGCGACCCGGAACAGUUUGUGCCACCGGUGUACCACCCCACCCCGCAGUUCAACCCGCAGCUGCGGAGCCUCGCCGGGGCCGGCGCUGUCAGUAACGACGAUGUCCCGCUCCUCUCUGGUUUUAAGCGAACUAGCAAGCCGGUGACUACCGCGCCGGCACCGUCGCCCGAAAACUACGAGACGCCAAACAGUAUCGCCGCUGCAGGCGCCAAAAAGUCCCCCACCGGCUUACCCGGCCAGGCAACAGGGGGCAGCGGGGGGCCGCCGAUGAUGUGGCGGUCUCCGUCGCCGAUGCACAGGGCGGCAGAGGCCUUUCCUACUCGGCCCAUGAUGAACCCCAACGCGGCCGUGCCGUCAGCUGCCUCGAUGGCCGUCGGUGCCGUACAGGGUGGGAGCCGUGUGAACACGGCUGCGAGCCUCUCCAGUGGGAUGGGGGCUGACGGGUCCUCGGAACGGCUUGACGGAGAUCAGCCGCCGAUUCUCGGGUGGUCUUCCUCCUCCAUCCGCCGCCCUCCAUCAACGGGCCCGUCAGGGUCCCCGCUGUCGCAGCAGCAGCAGCAGCAGCUGCAGAACGCCGGCGCUCGAUACACCGCGCCGCAGCCGCCGCCGCUGUCUCAGUCACUUCCUUCGGCAAUACCACGUUCGCAGGACCGCAGUGGACAGCAGCUGAGCGGCGCUCCCUUUUUUUCAUCGUAUGGUGUCUACCCUCAUUCCGUUCCGGGCGGCAACGCCCCGCAACUGCACUCCCCAGCCCAAGGAGCACCUCCCUCGCAACGCCCACUUCCGCAACACCAGCAGCCGUCGUUUCCACAAAAGGUUGCACCUGUGUUACCCCGGAGUGCCCAGGAGCGACAGGCGGCAGCGGCGGCGGCGGCAGCGGCAGCGGCGGCGGCCAACGAAGGGAGUCGAGGUGCAUCCCCGAACAGUCUCAGUGCCAGUGAGGCGGGCAACGGUGCACCAGUUCGCAUCGCCGCCCAAGAGCAGCGUGGCCCAUCUCCGCCCAUGUUGCCUGAGCCGCGCUCCGAGACUGUGUCUCAGCAGCACCAACAGCAACAGCAGCAAGGACAGUCUGUGGCGGACUCUACCACUCCCGGUCCCCGCCAAGCGACAGCCAACCCUCCCGUUUCGGCGCUGGUACCCCCUCGAAUCGCCUCGGCCCCAAUGGCACGCGCCAUCCGCGUCGGCGCGGCAGGCGGCAGCGCAGCAUAUUCGACCGCAGUCGCAGCCACCACGGCAUCACCGUAUUCAGGACCCACCCGAGGAAUGCUGUCAUCGAACCAUGUCGGUGCAGUAUCGCACCUGCCGCGUGCACCGCCGACUGCCGCAGCGAACCAGGGUGCGACACCCAUUCCAAGCGCAGGCAGCUCGAGCGGCAGCCCAGCACCGCCGACGGCGCCGCAGCCGCACGUGUCGCCGGCGCCGCAGUCUGUGAGUACGGCAAAACCCCUGAGCGGACCGGCACCUUCGACGCUGACGACGACGACGCCAGCACCACGCCCUGCCCCGGCCACUAGCGUAGCAGCGCUCAGCGGGUGGCGACCCCCGCAGUUUGGCCGCAAGGCCGCCCCGACGAACAGCGACCCGCUGAUCGUUAUGAUCUUUGGCUGCCGUGGGUCCGGGAAGACGACUCAGGCUGAGAACAUUGCCGAGCGCUACCACUUGCUGCACCUCUCCUCGGGGGAUAUGUACAAGGAAGGCAAGCAACCCUUCGCGGAGGUGGAGCAGGCCGUGAAGGACAACUUCGGUCCUGAUGCAAAGGACCGCUCUUACAACGGCCUCGUUCUCGAUCGCUUCGUCGCGACAGGGGAGAUGGACGCCUACUAUCUGCAAGCCGCGCUCAACGUGUGUCAGCUGCCGGUCCCUCUUGUCUUUUGGUUGCAAGUGGACCCCAAGGAAGGCUUGAGGCGCGCCCAGUCCCGCGGCGAUCAAAAGGCCGGAUCGGACCACUGGCGCUAUGUGGAGCAGCGGGCCCAAGCGGAAAUAGCAGAUCGCGUGUACAAGAAGAUUGGUGUCCUGCACGUCAUUGACUGCAACGCGCUGGAAGCGCGUCGGGUCGGAGACCGUAUUUACAGCAUCAUUGACGGCCUCUUCCCGAAGCGCAGCCGGAACAUUCGCCUCCCGCCCGCCACGCCGGUCGCCGGCUACGACAAGUUCCAGCUUUUGGACGAUUACAGCGAUUUCCAGCAGCUUACCAAGGAGGUGCACGCAGCGAUCGGCAACACGUCUGGCCGCACGGACAGCGCCCCGCUCUCUAGCAUUGGCGGAUACGUCGACGCCGGCUCGUUUGCGAACCGGCAGGAGUGCAAGCGGAUGUCUUCCAUGUACGUCACGUUGAAGGUGGAUGGGCAGCGCUAUCUGGUCGUGAAGCACUCGCACUUUGGCGUACUGGGUUUUCCGUUUGCCUUCACUGGCUGCUACGAUUUCAACGUUCUCUUCGAUCCGCUAAUGUUUGCGAACGCGUUCGAAAUGGUCGGCGACAGGCAGGAAGAGGCGAACGGGAUCGAGUGGAUGCUCGAUGCGGAGAUGAGCACCAGCGCCGGCGAGUCGAGCCAGCCUCAGCCGCUGCUACACAUUAUCGACUACGUGUACUUUGGCGGCAAGCAGGCCAAGCGCACGCCGUUCUUCGAGCGCUACGAGCUCUUGCGGGAGUGGUUCCGGUUGAUGGUACAGAAUAGCGGCGAGGCCGGAGCCUACGCGGCUGUAGUGCUGAAACACUACGUCCCCAUCAACGAGCUGCCGAAGCUGCUGCCCCGCUUCGAGGAUGCGCCGUUCGCGGUGGAUGGGAUUGUCUUUCAGGGCAACACAAUUUACAAGUUUGGGCUAGACAAGUUCCUCUUGAAGUGGAAGCCGCUGCAGCUGUGCACGGCUGACUUUAGACUCAUGAACGGAGAGAAGACCGAAGAUGGGGUCACGGUUUUCGACCUCUACACAACUGAGAACGAACAGGAGGUCCCCUUUCCAGGGGCCGUUGGGGUCUUCACAGAGAUGCAGAUGCGCGCUUACCAGCUGCGCAACAGCGUGGUCGUGGAACUAGAACUGGCCGACGUUGUCGAAAGAGCGGGUCCCAACGGGCAGCCGGCGACGCAGUGGGUGUUCCACCGUCUGCGUGUCGACAAGCCGCGCCCCAACAAGACUUCUGUUGUCGAGAGCAUCGUGAAGCUGAAGCACCUCACAUACCAGGAGCUGAUCGAUCACUGCAGGGUGCUGCGUUUCAGUGGACCCAACGCCUCUUCGCCCUAGGAGCUUGCGCGGCACAGACGUAGAGAGCGAACAAUACAAAGGAGGGGGGGGUCGGCGACCUUGGCUUACCACACUGUCCCGAGCAUGUUGCGGCUGCUGCAUUUCUCGCUUGAACAGGUUCUCGUUUUUUUCUUUACCGAGGAUUGAGUAGACUGAGACACGUCCAGCCUGCUCUUUCCCAAGAGAUUGACUUGCGCGUCUGCGGCGUCUAUUCUCCGGCGACGAAGCGUCCUUUUUCCAUGGUCGUGAGGCUUACGGAAGCUCGGGUGUUCGUUGUCUUGGCUAAUUCGUCCGCAGGUUGAGUGUGCGGACUUGCGAGUGGUGGUCAUCGCUCGUCUCUCCUCUCUGCCUCGUGAAGAGCCGCAUUCCUUUCAGCGACGGGUUUGGUGCAGUUGCUGUAAUCAUGUUUCUCCUCCUCUGUGGCCCCUCUGUGGUCGCUGUUGUUUUCAUGUGGACAACGACUUCCUUUUGGGGGGGGAGGGGGUUGUUGGUGAUGGUAUGCAUCGGUGGUGGCGUACUGCCUUUUCCCUCAUUGGUUGGUUGGUCGGUACGCCGCCUUUUUUUUUGUAUUGUUCCACAGUUCCGAAGAGGCUUUUGCCGCGCGGCGUCGUCGCGCAUUUUUUGUGCGCGCUUGUGUGAGUUUGCUGUGGUGGUGGUGGUUGACCGUUCAUCCAGACUCGUAAUGUUUUUCCUUUGCGGCCUCCUUGUCAAGGAUAUCGUGUGUUUGCGUGCCACGCAUUCUGUUCGUGGUCUAUUUUUCUUUUUUUUCUGUGUGUGUGUGUGUGUAACGGUAUCUCUCGUGUUGUGCACUGCGCAUUACUGGUGCCCGGUCUUAAAUACGCGGUGGUAUGUGCCUGUGUGGGAUGUGCAGCCGUGCACUAGUUGCUCUUGCGGACCUGUAUGUGAUAAUGUGUGGAAAUGACAGGUGCGAAAGCGAGGAAGAGGUGGAAGGGUCAGCUGUGAAUGGAAAGAGCGAGGCAAGAGUUGCAGAGAAGAACAUGCGCUGCUUCGGCUGUUGAAAACGUCGAAUGCGUGCGGCUGGGGUGGUGGGCGGUUCAAUAACUGGAAUAAGGCGAAGAUCGCCACCUGGAGCUGUUACUUUGUCAGCAGGCCGUUUCUUGGCCGCCCCACCGCCCGUCUUCGUUGUCUCGAACCUCCUCGGUGGCCUCUUCUGACGCGUCCGCGAUGAAGAAAGAGAGGUAGCGAUGUGCAUAUAUGUGUAUACCUGUACAUGUAUAUGGAGCGUGUGUGCGCGCUACAUGGGGUGCGCGCCCCUCUCUCGCUCACUCGCCCUCUGGUGAAGUUGUGAACGCGCGCUCUCUCCUUGUCUUCGCUUCCUCACUUUCGCUUCAUGUAACAUCGACUGUCGCACC